GCUGAAGUCGGACGCUUAACCGACUGCGCCACCCAGGCGCCCCAUUGUGUGUCUUUUUAAAUGUUUGUUUAUUUUUGAGAGUGACAAAAGAGAGAGCACGAGUGGGAGCGGGGGAGGAGCAGAGAGGGAGAGGCAGGAGGAUCCAAAGGGGGCCCUGAGGUGACAGCAGAGAGCCCGAUGCGAGGCUCGAACUCACAAACUGUGAGAUCAUGACCCCAGCCAAAGUUGGAUGCUUAUCCGACUCAGCUACCCAGGUGCCCCAGCUUGUGUGUUUUAUAAACAAUGUUAUUUAUCUUUAAUGAUGAUGAGCAAACACAUGAAACUUAUGUAGAGUUGCACUGACAUCUAGAAGUAAAACAGGUACAGUUAUCAGAAUGUUUUCGUUUUAGGCAAGAGCUAGAUGUUGUACAUGGAGGAAUCCCGUUUAUUAAGAACGACUAUUCUCUUACAAAAGAAACAGGAAAAAUUAAGGAAAUAGAUUAAAAAUAGCGUAAAAAACUCCGUAAGCUAAUCAUCUGCCAUUUCUGAUUUCAUUUCAUAGCACAUGGCCUGAAAUGUCCAGUCUCCAGACAGCAGUUGAGAAUUAUUAUCUGCGAGUAAAAUUUUCCUUUCCCAACCUUAUUGAAUUCCUGGCUGCUUCGUCUGUUCGUUUGGGCCUGUCUUUCUUUAAUGUAUUCAACUGAAUCACUGGCAAAUAGCCUGCUCUGAGGCCAUUUAAACUCUACCAGAAAAGCUUUCAAUGAUAGUUACAACUUCUGAAGACUGUAACUAAAAUGAUUUUCCUUUGACCAGCAAAUGAUCCUCAGAACCUAAACACUGUUCCCAGGAAGAAGACAAAGCCAGAAAAUUCUCUUUGCAGCGGCCGUGGUGGAAACGAAAGACCAACACCACCAGCACCACAACAAAAAGAAAACAUUUGGGGAUGCUUUGCAGUAAACGGGAAUUUUCUGAGUACGUUUUGGUAAUGAAGGAAAACACCUUACCUUUUCUCUAAUUAACGUUAAUUGUAACGUUACGUUGACAUAGAGACAGAAAUAUCUCAGAGAAAUCAAGAAUACAGGAAAACCUUGGAUGGUGAGGAACCUGUCCUGUGAGUGUUCCUCAAGAUGAGCAAACAUUUCUAAUAAAUUUUAACUUGAUAAACGAGCUGUCUUGCA
rnacentral:lncRNA from 1 species